AAAAUUAGUUGGAAGAGAAGUUAGACCAUACUCCGUCGAGUAUUGCUCCUCCUCGUCCCAACGACGGAACAUUCCUGUGUCUUGAUCUGGUGAG